rfam:Mycobacterium abscessus strain PAP053 genome assembly, contig: ERS075544SCcontig000003
GCCCUCGUAGCUCAGGGGAUAGAGCGUCUGCCUCCGGAGCAGAAGGCCGCAGGUUCGAUUCCUGCCGAGGGCA